UUGUCCCUGAGAACUCAGGCUUCCAAGCUGCAGGCUCUCAGACAGGGAAUUUUUAGUCCUGCUCUGUUUUCAGGCAUUCACGUCACCAGACAAGCUGAGCACAUCCACCUGUGCUUUCUGGUAGCUCUGCGUCUGCAUAGAAAGCAAUGGGCUUCCCAAAGGUGCUGGGCAGUCGUGGGGUUCAAUACAAACUGCAUUUGAUUGGGACUUGGGGUUUGGCUGGACUGCCUUGAUUUUCCCAGGGUGAUCAGUCUUUAACACGAAACGAAAAAGGUCCUAAAUGUCAACAUUGAAUUACAAAGUCAUUCUUGCAAUUCUUGCAUCGGGGUUUCCCUAACGAUGGCAAUUCUCAUGACUGCUGGAGACCAGGCAGGAGUGGGCAUGGAAAGAGAAGUGCUGUGCAGACCAACAAAUUAAUCACGUGUGUGUUUGCACCUGUGAUUACGCCCAGGCACUGAUCCAGGAUCUAAGGAUACCUUAGGUGAAGAAAUAGACUAGAGCCCUAUCCUUGAGGAACUUACGUUCUAGAGCAUAGAAGCUCUUUCAUGUUGCAAAAUAUAUGCUCUUAAAUCUAGGAAACAAUCCAAUGCUUUCAUGUCUCUGAAUGCUGCUAAGGUGCCUAGCAGCUCAUUCCUAAAAUCUGAUUUCUCCCCAGCCUAGACUCUUGUUGCUUCAAGGAAAUGAUUCUCAAUCUCUUCCAUGUUGUACAUCUCUUUGUACAUCAAUUAAAGCUGUGAACCCUUUUUCAGAAAAACGUUCAGAACACAGAAACAUUCACAAACCUGCCUGCCAUUUGAGGGACUAUGAGCUCCAGGAGGCUCACACAGGACUGUGGCUUUAGAAGACCUGUCUUAAGUGUGGGAGGCAGCUGCCGCCUGUGCUGCCGGCUCACACCGCAUUUCCCAGCAGGAGCUAUGCAGCUGAAUUUCAAUCACAGUGCGCCACCACUGUGGAUUAGAGGGAGCUGGCCACUGUUGAAAAUUUGAACUAAAAAAAUGUUUAAAUUCUACCAAACUGUAGACAAACCCAUUUGCAAAAUUCCUAACAAGUUAUCAUCUUCGUGUGGUCCCAGAUGAGCUCUGACCUUGGCCAGGUCCCUUCCUUGCUUUGGGUCUCAGCUUUCAGGUUUGUGAAAUGAGGGGGCGGAGGGAGCAGCGCUGAGGUCCCUUCCAGCUCUGCAGUGCCUCGAAUUCUAAGUUGCUGGUGCGUCUUUUACUGAGGGGCAACCGGGAGAAAGUGCAGCCUCAGGUGCUGGCCUUUCCUGGGAAGAGCUCCCGGACGCCUUCUGCCGGGCCCACGCCUCCGCCCAGCAACUACCGACCGCUCUCCCCUCUGCGGCGCGGGAUGCCGGCCUGGCUCCAGGAUGAAGCAGAGGCUGCCGCGGCGCCGGCCGGUUACGGCUUUAGAACUCUCAGUUCCACGGGGGAGGGCGCAGCACGGCCCAACACCCCACGCGGAGGAGAAGUGGGGCUUUUCCGUGCGAGUGUGCGGGUGUGCCAGGCCCGUGUCUGGGAAGGGGUGCUGAGGGCCACGCUGCUCGGAGGAGACCCGCCCCUGCACCGCGCCCUGCACCCCGCCCCCUGCCCCGCUCCCCCGCUGGGAGGGAGGAGAAGAGCAGAGAAGGCAAACCGCGUGCAGCGAGGCGGGGGUGCGGGGGCGCGGGGAGAAUGCGGUUAAGGCCAGUGUCGCUCUCAAGGGGCAGCCCUGGUGUCACCCCCACCCCCUCCCACGCUGAAGCCUUCCCGCUGAGCUGUGGCAUCAGCACAAACCGGACCGCGUCAGCACCUCCAGGCCAGAAUUUAAAUGUUAUUAUCGGCAAUUGAUCUGCUUGGGACUGAGGUUUCGGGUCUUCUGCGGAAUUGGGAGGAGCGUGGAUGGAGAAGGAGGUGCUGCACUGUGGCACAGACUCGGCCGGGGCUGCCUGGCUCUGAGCAGGCUCGUGGGACGGCCCUGUAAGAACCCCACUGCAAGAAGGGCACAGAAGCACCUGAGUUGGCGUCUCAGCAGGGACCCCCCCCAGGAAAUGGCCUUCUACAGUUGGUACACAAGCUCUUUACACACUUAGCCAUCGCUAUACACAGUCCACGCUUGUGCACCCACACCCACAAGCUUAUGCUCAUGUGCACAUUUUUUUUUUUUUUUUUUUUUUGAGACAGAGUUUCGCUCUUGUCGCCCAGGCUGGAGUGCAAUGGCGCCAUCUCAGCUCACUGCAACCUCCGCCUCCUGGGUUCAAGAGAUUCUCCUCCCUCAGCCUCUCGAGUAACUGGGAUUAGAGGCGUGCGCCACCACACCUGGCUAAUUUUUGUAUUUUUGGUAUAGAUGGAGUUUUGCCACAUUGGCCAGGCUGGUCUCGAACUCCUGACCUCAAGUGACCCGCCCGCCUUGGCUUCCCAAAGUGCUGGGGUUACAGGCGUGAGCCACCAAGCCCGGCCUCACAGGCGGAUUCUUGAAUCUGUGUGUAUAAUGCUUCUCUUACAGUCAUCCAGCAAACAUGUACGGACCCUGCUCACGUUUCCACAUAACCAUCCUUGUCUUCCUUUUCUAUCCUUCGGGUCCGCGCAUUUGCUAUCCAUACAUGUUACCAGACACAGUUUGCUGGAACAUAUGAUAUGCCCUUUCCUAGCACAUCCAUAUAAACACACACAAUGGAUCUACAUAUGUACAGGCCUAAAAACAGAAUACACAUCCUACAUGACAUGUACAAAUGUGCACACAGAAACAACAGCCUUCACACCGUCUGCACGUGUGGGCCAUGCCCAGGUCCCAGGCACACAGGCCAGGUGACAGUCCACUUCCUCACACAAUAGCCUGCUCUCUUUUCCUCACUCCUUCCUCAAGCAGCUGUCCGUGGGGGAGAACCUCUGCCCCUAGCCACCGCCCUGUCUCUUCAUUCUGAGUUGAGCAUGGGAAACCGUGUGAUGCAGGGAAGGAUGGUGAUACCAGGCCUCUGGGAGCCUGGGCUGUCAGCUUAACUGGCUUCAUAACACGCUAUUUUGCUCAUUUAUUUUCGUAUACCUUCACAUGCCUUGUGAGGCCUUCCAGAAAUAGAUGUUCAAAUCCUACCUCAGUUUCCUCAUCCAUAAAAUGGAUUAAAAUACUAUCUGCCUUA